GAUGAACGCUGGCGGCGUGCCUAAUACAUGCAAGUCGAGCGAACGGACGAGAAGCUUGCUUCUCUGAUGUUAGCGGCGGACGGGUGAGUAACACGUGGAUAACCUACCUAUAAGACUGGGAUAACUUCGGGAAACCGGAGCUAAUACCGGAUGAUAUUUUGAACCGCAUGGUUCAAAAGUGAAAGACGGUCUUGCUGUCACUUAUAGAUGGAUCCGCGCUGCAUUAGCUAGUUGGUAAGGUAACGGCUUACCAAGGCAACGAUGCAUAGCCGACCUGAGAGGGUGAUCGGCCACACUGGAACUUGGACACGGUCCAGACUCCUACGGGAGGCAGCAGUAGGGAAUCUUCCGGAAUGGGCGGAAGCCUGACGGAGCAACGCCGCGUGGGGGAUGAAGGGCUUCGGAUCGUAAAACUCUGUUAUUAGGGAAGAACAUAUGUGUAAGUAACUGUGCACAUCUUGACGGUACCUAAUCAGAAAGCCACGGCUAACUACGUG
rnacentral:rRNA from 1 species